rnacentral:ncRNA from 1 species
AUAAAACCGUUGAAAAAGAGGAGUAAGUUAUCUUACGACAUUACAGAGAGCUAUGUCAUGGUGGAAGCAUAGUAUGAAGUUGGUAACCGAAUGGACUUUUGAGGGCAGCCCUGAACAACAGUAUGGGCUGACGGAAACCGCAACCGUUAUCUGGCGGCAUAUAUGUUAGUAUAUGAAUGAGUGGACUUUACGUCAAUUUGGGUGGUACCGCGGAUUUAUAAAUUCGUCCCAGAU